CUGACCAAACUAUACUGAGAUGGAGAGGUAACGCCUGACCCCUAAUCUAACAAAAUACUGAGAUGGAGAGGUAACCCCUGACCCCUAAUCUAACAAAAUACUGAGAUGGAGAGGUAACGCCUGACCCCUAAUCUAACAAAAUACUGAGAUGGAGAGGUAACCCCUGACCCCUGACCAAACUAUAAUGAGAUGGAAAGGUAACCCCUAACCAAACUAUACUGAGAUGGAGAGGUAACGCCUGACCCUUGACCUAACUAUAUUGAGAUGAAAGGUAACCCCUGUCCCCUGACCUAACUAUACUGAGAUGGAGAGGUG